GAUGAACGCUAGCGGCAGGCCUAAUACAUGCAAGUCGUACGGCAACACAGUUGCGAGCAAUCGCAACCGGUGGCGAGUGGCGCACGGGUGAGUAACGCGUAUGUAACCUACCCUUCUCCGGGACAUAACUCCGCGAAAGCGGUGCUAAUAUCCCAUACCAACUCAUCAAGACAUCUUCUUGAGUUGAAAGCAGCAAUGCGGUGAAGGAUGGGCAUGCGUCCCAUUAGCUGGUUGGUGAGGUAAUGGCCCACCAAGGCUACGAUGGGUAGGGGUUCUGAGAGGACGACCAGCCACACUGGAACUGAGACACGGUCCAGACUCCUACGGGAGGCAGCAGUGGGGAAUUUUGGACAAUGGGCGCAAGCCUGAUCCAGCAAUGCCGCGUGCAGGAUGAAGGCCUUCGGUUGUAAACUGCUUUGUACGGUAACGAAACGGUGAGCUCUAAUAAAGACUUGCUAAUGACGGUACCGUAAGAAUAAGCACCGG
rnacentral:rRNA from 1 species